rnacentral:lncRNA from 1 species
GCGAAAAUUCUUAUUCCCGCAGGAAUUCCUGGUUUAACUUGAACAUAGCUAUGAUUUUCUUAUUUGGGUACGAAUUCCCAUAUUUGUUUUUGGUACAAGGAAAGAGAUUUCAGAAACUCCUCCUAUAACUUAAUGGAGCAACGAAAUUCUUAUUUUGAUAUUUUUUUUUUUAUAUUAAUUUUUAGUAGGAAUGCCUAGUUAACGAAAGAGAUUUUAGGAAAUUUAAAGGGAGAAGGGAGUUAUGAAGAGAAUUCACAAUUCACACCCUAGUUUUUCUCCUUCAACAAUAGACUUGCUAAUGUCUCAAUAUUGCAUAAAGAUCUCAUUGAAUAAAUUUAUUUUUGUUAUAUUUUUAUGACUUCACUUAGGGAUGAACAUGAUUUGUGUUGCCGACUUCAAGUAGUUAAAAAAAACUUUGAUGAUGAUGAUAAUGAUGAUAUCCUUGUUAUAUUUUAAUUUUGAAAAUUUUUUAUCUACAAAUUUAUUUUUCUUUUUAUUUACAAAUUUAUUUUUCACUAAUUCAUGACAAAGUCGAAUAGAAAUUUGGAUGUUCCACUGUUGUUACUAAAAUUAUCUUAUUUAUAAUAUUUCAUAUAUGCCAAAAGUUUGGAAUUUUAAGGUAUGAAUAAUCUUUGCUUUGAAAAUAAUUAUGGAAAUUAUGUAAUUAUCCGUUAUAAUUAGUCGUAUUUAAAAAGGGAGGGCUUUUUAUAUGACCCCACCCACAUAUAUAAUAUAUGUGAUCCCUGGCCUCAGCCAUCAGAUCUAAGUAGAUGGUGGAGAUGGCUUGAGUCACAAUAUCACAAGCUAGCACUUAACCGUCAGAUCUUGAUCAGACGGCUUAUUUUUUGUUUUUAUUCUAUAAAUAAGUUUGAAGCAAAAUUUGGGGCAUGCAUAGAUCUAAUAAGGGCGCACAUGAUAAAAAAAUUAAAAAAGUAUUUCCCGUGAUGAAAAAUUACUAGAAUACCCCUGAUUAUUUUAGGGGAAGUUUGGUCAUUUAUUUUUACAUAAAAUAUUUUUGUUUUAUUUUUUCCAAGUUCGCCUGUUUUUUUGAUGGGAUGUCCAAAAUUUCAUAAGAAAAUGUUUUGUAGAGAAAAAAUGAAAAAUAAAAAAGAGUUUGCCAUGACAUUGUAGUGUGAAUAAUCGUAGCCGUUCGAUUUAGAUUGAACAGCUAAGAAGUGGGGUCGCAUAUAACUUAUAUGCUGUUAGGGUUACAUAGAAACAUUUUCCAUUUAGAAAUGUCCUCCCUUCUAUGUUUUACGCUUUUCCUUCUAUGUUUUACGCUUUUCAUUUUUUUAUUUUUCUCAAAACAACCAUUGUUCAGAACUAAUUGGUUUCAGACCGUGAACACGAACUCUAGUGUAUGGUUUGGAACUAAUAGUUUGAGAACAUAUUGAUCUAUGCUUCCAUCUUUGUAAAGAAUCAAUGCGGCUUAGCAAAACUACUAGUUUCAGUCCACUUUGAUAGCAAAUUGGAACUAACAGCCUCAAAGUGAUUGUCUGAAACUAUUGUCAAAACUGAUAAUUUUGACCAUUUUGAAUCCUUACAAUGAACCGUUUGAAACUAAUAGUUUUGGACAACUUUGAUUGCUAGCACUGAAUAUUUUCAAACUAAACUGCAAAACGCCAACCAUUGAGCAGUCGUCUUUUGAGCAGCCACCACAGUUGAGUAGCAACCAGCAAAACCACUAUUGAGCAGCCACCAGUAGUACCCACAGCGAGACCCGCCCACUUGCGGCCACCAAUAGCCACCAGCAGCCAUCAGCGAGCUACUACCAGGGGCCACUAGUGAGCUAGAUUUAGCAGGUCUCCGAGCCCAGUCGUUAGGCCACAUUUUGUGGCCCAUGCUCUAUUUUCUCAGGGCUAGGCUGAGUUGACCUGGCUGGGCCGUCUGGCCCAUUGCCAGCCCUAAAUUCUUGGUAACUUGACUUACUAUUCCUUUCCGAGAAGCUCUAAUACUCCACUUUGUAAAAUGCAUUGAAAGUUCAUGUGCCCUUUUCGAUCUAGUUAAGCUUGCCAUCUUUCUUAUGAUGGGAGAGAUCAACUCAUAUGCUCAUCUCACCGAUCUCCCUAACUAAUGGGU